rnacentral:misc_RNA from 1 species
AAAGCGAUUCCUCACCCACCCUGGUAAGAUAAUCUUAGAUCUUUCUAGUCAUAAGGGUUUUCUCUAUGUUCUUGUCAAUGUAAAACAUGUAGACCACCAUUGAAACACCUUUGGUUUCAGCAGCAUAGGCACUUCAACGCCACUUCAUGUCAUUAGUACAAUUGGUUACAUACUGUAACAUUAUAAAAUUGUUAAUUUAAUGGUCUGUUUCUUCUUGAAUGAUACCAUGUAAUAAUUCUUAAGAAUAUUUUGUUAAUUGAAUCUUCAUUUACAUAUAUU